UCAACACCAGCAUGUACAACGACGUCGAGCCCAGGCGGUCUAAUCCUGAGCUGGUAACAAACACUCCAGCCUCAGGUAAAGUCGGGGCCCAGGCUGGAUCCAGAGCGUGAGGCUCAGACCCGACGUUGAGCAGGACGAGGAAGUGGACACAGCCCCACGAGCGGAGAAAGGCCAGGACUGUGGGAGAUGAUGGCGAGGAAACAGUGGAGUUUGGGGAGGAGGAAGAAUUGGUGGAGGAGGUGUUGAAGGGGAGGAAGGUGAAGCUGCCGUACAUUAGAGCUUCUUCUCUGGCUCUGGAGUGACUGAGGGAGGUGAAAAGAGUGACAGCUGAGCGCCUCUCUUUCCCAUUGUCCUGAGGGAGGAAGUGUAGAGCGAUCCUGGCAGCGUCAUCGUCAACACCAGGAGUAACCUCUUCAAGUCAUGAGACGCUUCACCUCCAACCUCGAGAAGAUUCAUUAGAAUUCAAACUCCGACCAUAAAGACGAGCAGCUGAUCAGAAGACUGCCUUGUGGCUUGAUGUCGGACAACGUAGCCUCUAUUCAGGAAACUGUACAUCAGGUGCGUCUCUAUAGCGUCAGCCACUUCCUGUGCUGAGAGGGGAUGUUGUGAAGACGGAAGAAUUGGCCUCAUAACCACAUCCGCCAGUGUCCUGUUGAUUUGGUCGGAGUUGUUCAGAGGCAGCAAGACGUGUUGAGUUUGUUUGACCACCACAAUCCUAAAAGGACAGACAUGUAAUGCAAAUUAACACUUAAUUUAAGAAUAGAAUGAACACACAGUUCACCUAUAUCUUCACCUUUCUUCAUCCUCCUGACCGUCAAACUCCAUUAAGACAUCUCUCCAUUCCAGCAGAGUCUGAAAUGUAAACAUUUGACUGAAGAUGCUGCUGAAAAGAAAAUUAAAAUCAUACAUUUGUUUUUUUUAUUUCUUUUAUUUCACCUUUUCU